rnacentral:rRNA from 1 species
UACGUAGGGCGCAAGCGUUGUCCGGAAUUAUUGGGCGUAAAGAGCUCGUAGGUGGCUUGUCACGUCGGGUGUGAAAGCUUGGGGCUUAACCCCGAGCCUGCAGUGGAUACGGGCAGACUAGAGGUAGGUAGGGGAGAAUGGAAUUCCCGGUGUAGCGGUGAAAUGCGCAGAUAUCGGGAGGAACACCGGUGGCGAAGGCGGUUCUCUGGGCCUUACCUGACGCUGAGGAGCGAAAGCGUGGGGAGCAAACAGG